GGCUCUGUGCUGACGGCUCGGAGCCUGGUGCCUGCUUCGGAUUCUGUGUCUCCCUCUCUCUCUGCCCCUUCCCCCCUCAAAAAUAAGUAAACAUGAAAACUCUGUUCAACCAAAAGUGCACCCCCAUCUCCUUGCAAGGCAGAAAUGCCUCGUGUGAACGCCCGCGGUGUCCCAGACGCAGGGGAGCCCAGGGGAGCUGGGCCUCUGCUCUGAGGGACGCCCGAGCCUGCAGGGUGGGCCGCUGGGGUCGGGGUUCCACUCCGUCUCCUGCACGUGGCUCAUUAGCUCUUAGUUUUCUCCUUGUACUUUGGACAUCACAGCUGCCUUCUCUGGGGCGUCCCCUUGCUGACUCCCAGUGUUAGUCUUCUGCCCGGUACACGUCUGAGCUCCUCAUAGGGAAGGAGCGCUGGCCAGCCGUGUCACAGACCUUCGGAAUCCGAGCUGGCUGGCGGUAUUCUGUAAAAUUCCGUGGUGUAUGUUUUUCCCCCUUGUCAUCUGGCUCUGGGAACAGAACUGCCAGCUGAGAGGGCUUGGCCAGGACCGCACUGGGUGUGGUCCCAGAAGGUGGAGCUGUCCCAGGCCGGCCCGGGGGAGAUUCUGGGCUCCCGCAAAGUACAGCAAUCAUCAUAGGGAAAGAAUUAGCAAGAAGAUCCCUUGCUCCAGAAUUGUACGGUAUUCGCCUUAGCCGUUCAAAAGACAGAAUCAUUUCCUCAAAAACGAACCUUCUUGAAAGUCAUAUAGUCUUGGGAUGGCCAUCAAAGGCAGAAAACAAAAGAAGUUUGCCUUGACAACAUCUGAACAACUGAAUGACUUUUGAGCACGACAGACACUGUAGCCAAAACUAAAAGGCAAAUAAAAAACAAAAUAGUUACGACGUAUGGCAAAGGGUUGUCUUUUAUAUACAAAGAGCUCUUAUGAAGCAAUAAGUAAUUCCCCAGCAGAAGGAAUGGGCACAGACGCAUCAAAAGAAAUAAUGGGGCAGAUAGUGUGUACAUAUAUUUAGCUUUACUAAGGACCAAUUGAAGUGAUGAGGUGACUUUUUUUUAAACCCAUUGAAGUACAGGGGCACCUGGGUGGUUCAGUUGGUUAAGCGCCUGACUCUUGAUUUUGGCUCAGGUCAUGA